AUCGAACGCUGGCGGCAGGCCUAACACAUGCAAGUCGAACGAGUGGCGGACGGGUGAGUAAUGACUGGGAAACUGCCUGAUGGAGGGGGAUAAGUACCGGAAACGGUAGCCAAAAACGCAUAGCAUCGGAUGUGUCCAGAUGGGAUUAGCUAGUAGGUGGGGUAAAGGCCCACCUGGGCGACGAUCCGUAGCUGGUCUGAGAGGAAGCCCCGCCACACUGGAACUAAGACACGGUCCAGACUCCUACGGGAGGCAGCAGUGGGGAAUAUUGCACAAUUGGCGCGAGCCUGAUGCAGCCAUGCCGCGUGUAUGAAGAAGGCCUUCGGGUUGUAAAGUACUUUCAGCGGGGAGGCGUUACCCGCAGAAGAAGCACCGGCUAACUCCGUGCCAGCAGCCGCGGUAAUUC
rnacentral:rRNA from 1 species